UACAGAGGGUGCGAGCGUUGUCCGGAAUCACUGGGCGUAAAGAGCUCGUAGGCGGUCUGUCGCGUCGGCUGUGAAAUCCCGAGGCUCAACCUCGGGUCUGCAGUCGAUACGGGCAAACUAGAGUAUUGCAGGGGAGACUGGAAUUCCUGGUGUAGCGGUGAAAUGCGCAGAUAUCAGGAGGAACACCGGUGGCGAAGGCGGGUCUCUGGGCAAUAACUGACGCUGAGGAGCGAAAGCGUGGGGAGCGAACAGG
rnacentral:rRNA from 1 species